ACAACCAGCCUGAACUGAGAUACCAUUACACCAUGAGGACCACUGAGCCCUGGAAAGAAUCAUUGUCAGCCCCGAUUCUCCCUGCCCACAUCCUGUCUCCACCCUGCACAGCCGCCCACAACAUGUGUCCUCACCCUGCACAACCGCCCUCUUUGCUCAAUGUAGCAAAAUUUAUUAGAGAGGAGGAUAAAGAAACAUUGCAGAUGAAAAGCUGCUUAUGGCCACAAGGGGUCAUAAGUAGUGAAGAACAAACUUUUCAAACCUCUACUGUGAAAUUUUGCGUAUUUUAACCUUGAAGGAUCAAGAAGGAAACAAAGAUUUUUGAACCUCAUAAAAUAUUGCACAAAUAUUUUGCAUUGUAUUCAAUCAAAGGCUGGGUACACACUUAUAGAUAUAUCCGUUGAUCAAUUGAUCUGCAGCUAUAUCUACAGAUGGAUCAGGUAUUGUAUUCAAUCAAAGGUUGGGUACACACUUAUAGAUAUAUCUGUAGAGCAAUUGAUCUGCAGCUAUAUCUACAGAUGGAUCGGGUAGUGUGUUGUGCGUAUCACACUACCCAAUCCAUCGUUACUGAGGUCAUGAACUGGACGGGCAUUUGCAUGCACCAUCCCAGUCGCCGCCACUUGUGCAGUGAGUGUAUGGGUGGUUGGCUGACCGCCUGUACACACAGCACUGUAGAUAUAUUGUUCAUCAUCUGUGCUGCACAGCCGACACGAUAUGUCUAUGAACGAAGUUGUUCACAGACAUAUCGCUGGUACACACUGGCUGACGUACUAGCAAUAUAUCUGCCGUUCAAUUGAACGGGUGAUAUAUCGGCCAGUGUGUACCCAGCAUAAGUUUAUUUGCAAAUUGUGUGCAUGUUUAUGUAUUUACUAUUUUGAUAGUAUAAUUUUACUGUUACAUAUAUACCAGUGUUGUCCCUCCCUUAUAGACAAUUUGAGAGUAAAGGGUACAUUGCCAAUUUCAUACUUACUGUGACUAUCCUGUGAGAUGAAGCUGUGGUACUCUGUGAAACCACAAGACAUCAUAAAAAACGUACUUUGAACAAAAUGUCAUUACAAUUGCACGUCUAAUAAAUUAUUAUUUUUUAAAUGCA